rnacentral:rRNA from 1 species
GAUGAACGCUGGCGGCGCGCCUAAUACAUGCAAGUCGAGCGAACGGACGAGAAGCUUGCUUCUCUGAUGUUAGCGGCGGACGGGUGAGUAACACGUGGAUAACCUACCUAUAAGACUGGGAUAACUUCGGGAAACCGGAGCUAAUACCGGAUAAUAUUUUGAACCGCAUGGUUCAAAAGUGAAAGACGGUCUUGCUGUCACUUAUAGAUGGAUCCGCGCUGCAUUAGCUAGUUGGUAAGGUAACGGCUUACCAAGGCAACGAUGCAUAGCCGACCUGAGAGGGUGAUCGGCCACACUGGAACUGAGACACGGUCCAGACUCCUACGGGAGGCAGCAGUAGGGAAUCUUCCGCAAUGGGCGAAAGCCUGACGGAGCAACGCCGCGUGAGUGAUGAAGGUCUUCGGAUCGUAAAACUCUGUUAUUAGGGAAGAACAUAUGUGUAAGUAACUGUGCACAUCUUGACGAUACCUAAUCAGAAAGCCACGGCUAACUACGUG